rnacentral:rRNA from 1 species
AGUCGACGGAGCUGCUUUGAUGAGAUCUUCGGAUGGAUUUAAAACAGCUUAGUGGCGGACGGGUGAGUAACGCGUGGGUAACCUGCCUCACACUGGGGGAUAACAGUUAGAAAUAGCUGCUAAUACCGCAUAAGCGCACGGUUCCGCAUGGAACAGUGUGAAAAACUCCGGUGGUGUGAGAUGGACCCGCGUCUGAUUAGCCAGUUGGCGGGGUAACGGCCCACCAAAGCGACGAUCAGUAGCCGGCCUGAGAGGGUGAACGGCCACAUUGGGACUGAGACACGGCCCAAACUCCUACGGGAGGCAGCAGUGGGGAAUAUUGCACAAUGGGGGAAACCCUGAUGCAGCGACGCCGCGUGAGUGAAGAAGUAUUUCGGUAUGUAAAGCUCUAUCAGCAGGGAAGAAAGUGACGGUACCUGAAUAAGAAGCCCCGGCUAACUACGUGCCAGCAGCCGCGGUAAUACGUAGGGGGCAAGCGUUAUCCGGAUUUACUGGGUGUAAAGGGAGCGUAGACGGCAAGGCAAGUCUGAAGUGAAAGCCCGGUGCUUAACGCCGGGACUGCUUUGGAAACUGUUUGGCUGGAGUGCCGGAGAGGUAAGCGGAAUUCCUAGUGUAGCGGUGAAAUGCGUAGAUAUUAGGAAGAACACCAGUGGCGAAGGCGGCUUACUGGACGGUAACUGACGUUGAGGCUCGAAAGCGUGGGGAGCAAACAGGAUUAGAUACCCUGGUAGUCCACGCCGUAAACGAUGAUUGCUAGGUGUAGGUGGGUAUGGACCCAUCGGUGCCGCAGCUAACGCAAUAAGCAAUCCA